rnacentral:sRNA from 1 species
GCUGGGCACAGUGGUGCAUGCCUGUAAACCCAGCAACUUAGGAGGCUGAGGCAGGAGGAUCACAAGUUCAAAGCCAGCCUCAGCAACUUAGUGAGACUCUGUCUGUA